CUCUCCAAGGAAGUGGUGAAUUCCCUAACACUGGGUACUUUAAAAUUUGGCUGGACAGGAUGCUGGGACAUCUUGUCUAGACCAUGCUUUUGCCAGGAAGGGUGACCAGAUGAUCCUUGAGGUCCCUUCCAACCUGGUAUUCUAUGUCUGUGAUCUGUAAUGCUG